GGCAAUCUGUACCUACAAAUCAUCUUGGGAGGAAGGUAUAUUUACCUUGUCACAUUUUUAUAACUGAUCUGUCUUUUACAGGCCCUAUCUGUACAUCAGUAGCAGAUGCAGCCAUUGUUUACAGUAUCCUUGCUGAGCCAGACCCACUCUAUCCAUAUGGACUAAAACAGCCCAAAGCAACCCUAUCUGAUAUGUGUGCUCCUGACCUGAAAGGCUUAAAUCUGGGAGUGGACUGGACAUUUUUUAAGGCAUGUGAUGCUGAAGUCCUGUCCAUCUGCGAGAAAGCGGUGGAGCACCUGCAGAGUUUGGGAGCCAGUGUGGUUGAAGUCUCUCUUCUGGAGAUGGAGGAAGCUCGAGUAGCACAUGUAAUCUGCAUUCUCAGUGAGAUGAGAGACUUCCUGCAACCUGACUUCAAUAAACAUUUCCAGGAAAUGAAUUUGGACACUCGGGCUAACCUGGCCUUGGCUUGCCAGUUCACAGCUCUGGAUUAUAUUACGGCAAAUCGGCAGAGAACUCGGAGCAUGGGAUUUUUGCGAGAGAUCUUCAGCACUGUGAACUGUAUCCUUACACCAGCUGUUCCUUGCACUGCCCCAAGAAUUUAUGAAUCUGACCUCUUGACUGGGAGCAGCGAUAUGUCCUUCACAGUCCGGUCCAUGAGGUUCAUGCAGCUUGGUAACUUCACUGGGAUACCAGGCAUUGUGGUCCCCAUUGGAUAUUCUACUGCUGGGCUUCCUAUCAACCUUCAGGUCAUGGCAAAAUGGUGGGAUGAAGCUGUUCUUCUGAGGAUUGGCCUAAAGCUAGAGCAGUUUCGUUCCCAGACCAAAAAACCAUCCAUUUAUUAUGACAUCCUCGCAUGACAGAGUGACCAAGUUGGGGAUUAAGUCUUUUUUUUUCCCUAGUCUGACCUGACCAAGUAUUAAGAGUGGACUUGUUUUCAAUGUUUAUCUGAAAGGCUUAGUAGCAGGCUCAUUUGAGGAAUGGGGAUGAACCACUGAUCUAAGCAGGCACUGAUGCUGAGCAGACACAAUUUCUGCUCCCUGCUUGUCAGAUGGUCUAGUUUAUGCUAGGGAGACCAACUGUGCUAGUUCCUUGCUUUGUUUUUGCAGGGGAAGCUGCAACUAUCUUCUACAAUUUCUUCCCACGUAGGGGUCCUGUGUACAGAUGGAAGACAAUUGCAUCUACAGGACUGCAUGCAGGUAGUUCAUACUACUGUACAUGGAAAGGUACAAUCUCUAGGCCUUAAACCUUCCAAUGGAACUUCUCCUGCUAUAACAAAGGUCCUGUUUUUGAAGGGGAAGGGCAGCGAAUAAUGCCUAGCUCUCUUGGAAUGAGGAGGCUCUUAACACACCUGCAAUCAGGCAGUGUUUGUUUUGGCCCUGUACUUAGUCCCUCAGAGCAAAGCAGAAAUCCCAUAGGUACGGAAGUGUCACUGUGCUUGUCCCUCAUACUGCCAACACUGUGGGUGUGCUCACUGCCUGAGAGUCCUGCCUGCCUUCAGCCUUGCAUGGAAGGGAAAGAAAAAUCAGAGCAGGAACCCUCAUUAACUGACCCAAACCCCUGUUUCAGGGUUCUGGCUUUCCUUUGCACAUCUCUAUUUCCCAAGCUAAGACCUGGAGAGUCUCUUUUCUCCUGCUGGUUGCUUGAGUAUAAACCUACUGUCAUUUAGAUGUCCAAACGGGAGAAACUACUUGAUAAUGCAGAGAAAGUACUGUUCUAAGAGUGCUGAGGCAGCUAUUAGAAACAGCUGAAAUUUGUAGGAAAUGCUACUGAGCUACUGCGAAAGUUGAGGCUGGAUGCAAGAAAGUGUUGCACAAAGCCACGUGCAGCAAAGAGCCUGCUCUAGAUAAGAUGCCAGCCUUCUCUUAUUCCAAAAGCACUUCCUGAAGUAAUCACGGUAGAAUUAAGACAUGGAUUACUACAUAAAGCAUGGCAUGGCUCUAAGCCACAGUAUUGUGUUUUACUGAAAGGCUUCAGGCUGUAGGUUCAAGAGUACCUGUGUCCCAACAGCAGCACUAGGGCCACAUGAAAGAAGAAAAGGCCUAGGAGCAACUAAACCUAAGCAUUUGCGUUCAUUUCAGGGUAGCUUGAGGUUAAUGCUCAGAGGCAUCUCCUGUUGCCUACCUUAUCAGGUAUCUUGGGCUUCUGGUCAGGCUGCUGGAGGAGCUGCCCUACAGACAGGAGCGGAGAUCACUGUGUUCUUAUGUUGCUUGGAAGGAAAGAAGCAGCAGAAAGUAGUUGCAGUUUCUCCCAAACUCAGUAGAGUUUUGGGGUUUUUUUUCCCCCAUACCUAUCCACCGUUUAACCAUAGCUAGCUCUUUACUAAUGGCUGAAGUUAAGUCAGAUGGCAUCUGAAUGGAAGAACUUGCACUACCAUCUCCUUAAUUACCUGAGUUAAAGCAUCAACUCCUACCAUCAGCUGUCACCAGCAUCCACAGUUAAAUUAAUUAUAUGGUUGACACUGUCUUUGACCUUUAAUUCCUCUGCGAUACUGCCAAAAGUGUUUGUUCUCUAGAUUCUAGUACAGUUUAGCUUUAUGAGGAAUGGUUUAAAAGCAAAGUAUUUCCUCUGUUAUUAACCAUAAGUUAUUAAACACUGUCAACAUACCUUAGAGUGAAACACUGCUGAAAUGUUAGUAAUAAGGGAGGUGGUAAAUGUUUGACAAGAAUAAAUUUCUGCAAGGAACAGUACUGCUUGAAGAA
rnacentral:lncRNA from 1 species